rnacentral:rRNA from 1 species
GAUGAACGCUAGCGGCAGGCUUAACACAUGCAAGUCGAGGGGCAGCACGUCUUCGGAUGGUGGCGACCGGCGCACGGGUGCGUAACGCGUAUAGAACCUACCUUUUACAGGGGAAUAGCCCAGAGAAAUUUGGAUUAAUGCCCCAUAGUAUUAUUAGAUGGCAUCAUUUGAUAAUUAAACAUUUAUGGGUAAAAGAUGGCUAUGCGUUCUAUUAGCUAGAUGGUAAGGUAACGGCUUACCAUGGCGACGAUAGAUAGGGGUCCUGAGAGGGAGAUCCCCCACACUGGUACUGAGACACGGACCAGACUCCUACGGGAGGCAGCAGUGAGGAAUAUUGGACAAUGGGCGAGAGCCUGAUCCAGCCAUGCCGCGUGCAGGAAGACGGUCCUAUGGAUUGUAAACUGCUUUUAUACAGGAAGAAACACUCCCUCGUGAGGGAAUUUGACGGUACUGUAUGAAUAAGCACGGCUAACUCCGUGCCAGCA